UACGAAGGGGGCUAGCGUUGUUCGGAAUUACUGGGCGUAAAGCGCACGCAGGCGGCUUGAUAAGUCAGGGGUGAAAUCCCGGGGCUCAACCUCGGAAUUGCCUUUGACACUGUCUGUCUUCGAGUUCGGGAGAGGUUGGCGGAAUUCCUAGUGUAGAGGUGAAAUUCGUAGAUAUUAGGAAGAACACCAGUGGCGAAGGCGGCCAACUGGCCCGAUACUGACGCUCAUGUGCGAAAGCGUGGGGAGCAAACAGG
rnacentral:rRNA from 1 species